rnacentral:rRNA from 1 species
GAUGAACGCUGGCGGCGUGCCUAAUACAUGCAAGUCGAGCGAACGGACGAGAAGCUUGCUUCUCUGAUGUUAGCGGCGGACGGGUGAGUAACACGGGGAUAACCUACCUAUAAGACUGGGAUAACUUCGGGAAACCGGAGCUAAUACCGGAUGAUAUUUUGAACCGCAUGGUUCAAAAGUGAAAGACGGUCUUGCUGUCACUUAUAGCUGGAUCCGCGCUGCAUUAGCUAGUUGGUAAGGUAACGGCUUACCAAGGCAACGAUGCAUAGCCGACCUGAGAGGGUGAUCGGCCACACUGGAACUGAGACACGGUCCAGACUCCUACGGGUGGCAGCAGUAGCGAAUCUUCCGCAAUGGGCGAAAUCCUGACGGAGCAACGCCGCGUGAGUGAUGAAGGUCUUCGGAUCGUAAAACUCUGUUAUUAGGGAAGAACAUAUGUGUAAGUAACUGUGCACAUCUUGACGGUACCUAAUCAGAUAGCCACGGCUAACUACGUG